UGACUUUGGACUUACUAAUCUGCUACACUCCUGAUGUACUUAUUUUACCUUAAUUUCAUGUUAUGUAUGCAAAAUAUAUUUAUCCCAGUCUAAUAGGUAUUGUUUUUUUUCUAAUUUUUGUUUACUUAAGCCAUGACUCCUAAUCAUACCCAAGAAUAUUCACCACAAAAGGGCCUAAAACAUAUAUUUCAUGAAGUGAUAAGUGCAAAAUAUAGAAGUUGUGAUCUUGACUAUUUACAACAAAUGAAAAUAUGGAAAACUACAAGUGAGUGUGAACACCAGAAAUCAUAUAAAAUAUCACGCCUUGUUCACCACCAGAGAAUUCAUACUGGAGAGAAGCCCUACAAAUAUAAAAAAUGUUGCAAAGAAUUUAGUAAAAAACAAGGUCUUAUUUACCACAGAGGAACCGAUAAUGGAGAGAAGGCCUACAAAUGUACAGAAUGUGGUAAAGCUUUCAGUCUAAAAUCACUCCUAAUUUGUCACUGCAAAAAUCACACUGGAGAGAAGCCCUACAAAUGUAAAGAAUGUGGCAAAGCUUUUGGUCGAAAAUCAAACUUUAUUUGCCACACCAGAACUCACACUGGAGAGAAGACCUACAAAUAUAAAGAAUGUGGCAAAGCUUUCAGUCGAAAAUCAAACCUUAUUUGCCACAGCAGAACCCACACUGGAGAGAAGCCCUACAAAUGUAAAGAAUGUGGCAAAGCUUUUCAUCAAAAAUCAUACCUUAUUUGCCACAGCAGAACCCACACUGGAGAGAAGCCCUACAAAUGUAAAGAAUGUGGCAAAGCUUUCAGUCAAAAAGUAGGCCUUACUUGCCACAGUAGAUCUCACACUGGAGAGAAGCCCUACAAAUGUAAAGAAUGUGGCAAAGCUUUUGUUCGAAAAUCAAACUUUAUUUGCCACAGCAAAACUCACUCUGGAGAGAAGCCCUACAAAUGUAAAGAUUGUGGCAAAGCUUUUGGUCGAAAAUCACACCUUAUGUACCACAGGAGAACUCACACUGGAGAGAAGCCCUACAAAUGUAAAGAAUGUGGCAAAGCUUUUGGUCAAAAAUCAAACCUUAUUUGCCACAGAAGAACUCACACUGGAGAGAAGCCCUACAAAUGUAAAGAAUGUGGCAAAGCUUUUCAUCAAAAAUCAUACCUUAUUUGCCACAGCAGAACCCACAAUGGAGAAAAGCCCUACAAAUGUACAGAAUGUGGCAAAUCUUUUCAUCAAAAAUCAAACCUUAUUUGCCACAGGAGAACUCACACUGGAGAGAAGCCCUAAAAAUAUAAAGAAUGUGGCAAAGCUUUUCGUCAAAAAUCAGACCUUAUUCACCAAAGCAGAACUCAUUGGAGAGAAGCCCUUCAAAUAUAAAUAAUGUGGAAAAGCUUUUACUCAAAAAAGCAGGCUUUAUUUGCCACAGAAGAACUCACACUAGAGAGAAGACUUCAAGUGUAAAGAAUUUGGUAAAGCACUCAGUCAAAAAUCACACCUAUUUGACACAGCAGAACUCACACUGGAGAGAAGCCCCAUAGAUGCAAAGUAUGUGACAAAGUUAUUACUCAAAUAUUACACCUUAUUUGCCACAGCAGAAUUUACACUGGAGAGAAGCCUUACAAAUAUAAGGAAUGUGGCAAAGCUUUUAUCAAUUAAACAGGCCUUAUUCACCACAACAAAACUCACACUGGAGAAUAGACCUACAAAUGUGAAUAAUGUGGAAAACUUAAUAAAAAAUAAAACUUUAUUCACCACAGCAGAAGACAUCCUGGUGAAGGUGAAAUGUGAAUAAAGUGAUCAUACUUUUAAAGAAAGACUAAACCUUUGGGCUGGGGUUUUCGGUCAGUGGUAGAGCGCUAGCCUCAUAUGUGUGAGAUCCUGGGUUCAAUCCUCAGCACCACAUAAAAAUAAAUAAGUGAAAUAAAGGUAUUGUAUCCAACUAUAACUAAAAAAUAAACAUUAAAAAAAGAAAGACUAAACCUUAUUAACAACAGAAUUUAUACAGAAAAGAACCCCUACAAAUUGAAACAAUGCAGCAAAGCUUUUAAUAAUAAAUCAAUUAUUUUUCAUCACUAGGCUCUUUAUUUUGGAAAGAAGACAUAUAAAUGUAGAGAAUGUAGAAACAUUUUAAAUUAUUUAUCAUACAUUAGUGGACAUCAGAGAAAACACACUGGAGAGAAGCUCUACAAAUGAGACCAUUGUACUAUUCCUCUAAGAAAGGGAUAACAUUUAACCCUCUCCACAAUAACCAUAGCAUAGACAAAGUUUUGAAAUGUGAAAAUGGACAAUGUGACAAUGCCUCUAAAAUUUAUUCACCAAUGCUCAACACCUGUAGAUACAUACUGGUUAGAGACAAUACAAAUGGGAAAAAAUUGUAGCCACAUGUUUCUUAAACACUGCUGAUUUUUGGAGAAUUCAUUGUGCCCAGAAAUCCUAAAGGGUUAAAUAAUAUUUCCAUAACUUAUUCAAAUUUUAAAUUCUUUGAACAUCUGAAAACUCAUACUAGUAGUGAACAUUAAACAGAUUUUGUC
rnacentral:lncRNA from 1 species